rnacentral:tRNA from 1 species
GGAGGCGUGUUCCGAAUUGGCUAAGGAGCCGGUCUCGAAAACCGGUGAGGAUAAUAUCCUCGUGUGGGUUCGAGUCCCACCGCCUCCG